UAUGGUAUAUUUUGAGGAAAUAUGCCAAUUCCUGGUUCUGAAAAUAGCUGAAACAAUAGCUAGUAUUUAAUAGCCACCAAAUUUAUAUUACAUCUUGCUGAGUGGUGACAAAUUGAAAAAGCUAAAGAUCCCAGGAAGAGGGGGACAAUUGUUUGGAGAAGAGUUUCUGAGGAAGGUGUUCUUGGAGAACACUCACUCAAGAGGAAGGAGAUUGCGAGGCUAGGACUUCGAAAGAUACUCGGAGGUGGCGACAGUGACGGUGCGACGACGGCAGGAGGGUAGGAUAAUAUGUUCGAGAUAUCCUUCGAAUUCAACUUCUGGAGAAAAUAAAUCUUCGCCUUCUAAUUUGAAGGGUGAAAGAGAGCCAAAAACAGAAGCUAAAGGAGUUUGCCAAAGAACUAAGGUCAUAGUUUAACUAUGCUACGUUUUAGGGGUAUCCAAACAUGACCUUAUUGUUAAAUGAGGAUUAGAUUGCAAAGAUUUUUCGACAGAAAUAUUUAUUUUCAUUUUGUCUUUCUUUUUCUUUUCUACUAGGUCGUAAUUUGUGCUUAUGUUGAAUGUUAAGUAUCAAUUCUGUACGUCAGGGGGUGCUUCAAUAAACUUCCUGCAUGUCUGAACGAUCUGAAACUCUAAUUUAAUUGCUAAAAAUGGCAUGUCCAUUCAUAACUUAUUUAAUGUA